rnacentral:rRNA from 1 species
GGUGUAGGUGGCUCUAUAAGUCAGGAGUGAAAUCCCCAAGCUUAACUUGGGAAGUGCUUUUGAUACUGCAGAGCUUGAAUGUGGGAGAGGGUAGUAGAAUUCCAGGUGUAGUGGUGAAAUACGUAGAUAUCUGGAGGAAUACCGGUGGCGAAGGCGGCUACCUGGCCCAACAUUGACACUGAGACCCGAAAGCGUGGGGAUCAAACA